rnacentral:rRNA from 1 species
ACACGCUGGCGGCGUGCCUAAUACAUGCAAGUCGAACGGGAUUCUUUGAUCAGCUUGCUGAGAGAAGGAUCUAGUGGCGGACGGGUGAGUAACGCGUGGGAAUCUGCCUCUUACUGGGGGAUAACAGUGGGAAACUACUGCUAAUACCGCAUAAGAUCUUCGGAUGAAAGGUGCAACUGCACCGGUAAGAGAUGAGCCCGCGUCCCAUUAGCUAGUUGGUGAGGUAAAGGCUCACCAAGGCGACGAUGGGUAGCCGGCCUGAGAGGGUGAACGGCCACACUGGGACUGAGACACGGCCCAGACUCCUACGGGAGGCAGCAGUAGGGAAUCUUCCGCAAUGGGCGCAAGCCUGACGGAGCGACGCCGCGUGAGUGAUGAAGGCCUUCGGGUCGUAAAGCUCUGUUCUUGAGGACGAAUAAGCCAGGGAGUGGAAAGCCCUGGUGAUGACUGUACUCAAGGAGAAAGCUCCGGCUAACUACGUG